ensembl:snRNA U6 U6 spliceosomal RNA
GUGCUUGCUUAGGCAGCAUAGAUGCUAAAAUUGGAAUGACACAGAGGAGAUUAGCAUGGCCCCCGAGCAAGGAAGACAUGCAAAUUUGUGAAGUGUUCCAUAUUUUU